rnacentral:misc_RNA from 1 species
GUGAAUCAUCGAAUCUUUGAACGCAAAUUGCGCUCUUUUCGGAAGGCAUGUCUGUUUGAGGGCACCAUUUAAAAAAUAAUGUGCAGCGCUUUUUGUUGCUCACGGUGAUGAGCUUUCCAAGCAUUUUAAAUUUUUGUUGUUUCAUAAUGUACAGCGUGAAAGUUUUUUUCAGUUCGAGUGUAGUAAAAUCUUUGUUUGGGUUGUGAAGAAACAUAAUCGCGCAAUGGGUGAGG